rnacentral:tRNA from 1 species
ACUUUUAAAGGAUAGUAGUAAUCCGUUGGUCUUAGGAACCAAAA